rnacentral:rRNA from 1 species
GACAGAGGGUGCAAACGUUGUUCGGAUUUACUGGGCGUAAAGGGCGCGUAGGCGGCCUGUUAAGUCGAACGUGAAAUCCCCGGGCUCAACCCGGGAACUGCGUCCGAUACUGGCAGGCUUGAAUUCGGGAGAGGGAUGUGGAAUUCCAGGUGUAGCGGUUGAAAUGCGUAGGAUAUCUGGAGGAACACCGGUGGCGAAGGCGGCAUCCUGGACCGAUAUGACGUGAUGCGACGAAGC